CACAGAAAUUUCCCUUCAACCUUAUUGUAUUAACAUUUUGCCUUUUGUUUUUAUAUGUGAUACAAACAGUUUCCUUCUCUCUCUCUUUCUCCCACACAAGCACACACACUCAGAGGCCAGCUGGAUGUGAUGCUCUAGACAAGAAGUUGAUAGGUUUUACUGACCAACACGAUGUAUCUGGAGAAGCCUUCAGCAGCGGGGUCGCCUGCAGGGAUAAGAACCUGCUUUAAGAGACUCUAGAGGUAUCUUGUGGGAUUUACACUUGGAUAUGGAGCUACAUGGUAGUGCACAGGCAAUCUGUAACUCCACAAUCUGCCAGACAUCUGAUCCCAAUAAAUCCGUCUCUCAAAAGAUGGUACUUCAGAAUUGAUAAAUAUUUAUUGGAGACAUCUCUGAAGACACCCAAAGGUACAGGCCUAAACAACCAAUACUGAGGAGACAACACACGAAAGAGGUACCAGUCACUUUUUAACAAAGUCUUUGGUUUUUUUCAGAUAAAUCAAUGUAAUCAGGCUGAAGAAACUGUGGAGCUGGUCUCAAAUAUAAGCAGGGAUAAUACUGGCUUUUCAAUGCUUUCACAAGUACUCUGAAGGCUUUUUUCAGAAAAUGAUUUUCUUAUGCAUAAAUAAACAGCCUCUCUCCAACUAGCA
rnacentral:lncRNA from 1 species